AUACUGACUUUGCUUGGGUGUAAUAAUUAACUUACCUGUAGUCCAGGAUGUCUUUCAGGUCGAGGAUUCACAUCUUUCUCAACAAGCAUCACAAUAGUGUGCACUGCAUGAAGGGCCUGUUCCUGUAGUACACAGAUACCACAGAAGAUAAACACAGUUUGUAGGCAUGUCCUCACCUGAACCAUGAGCAGAGAUUUAUAGAAGACAGAAGGUAGAGGAGAUUUCCUGCUGUCAAUCACAACAGAAUUAAAAAGAUCUUGUUUGGAAGAAAGUGAUUGAGGAGGUUGAACAAUCUGAGCAGAGCAGAACGCUUCUCGAUCCUGAUCAUCUGUUUCAUCUUCAUCCUUCAUCUCUUCAUGAGUCAGAUGGACUCCAGGAAUGAUCUUUGCUUUGAAAAUAAUGAUGUGCGCCGUUGAAGAGUAUUGCUGUGUGCUUUGACUUUUAUUUGAUAAAAGUGGAACUUUUAUGAAGGAUGAACUGGGAUCAGAGGAAUUUGUAAAGGAGAUUGAGAAGAAUUUGAAACAUCUGGAUUCAUCUAAUGCUUCUUGUAAAUAUCAUAUUUCAAGAAGCUCAUUCAGGACUCAUUCACGUCGUCUCAUUAGCUACAUGGAUUAAAGUCUCUUCCAGUACCAGUAGUCUUCACUUUAAUCUGAGGUUAAAUAUCUUUCAUGGUCCAUCAAGAAACACUUUGCUCUGCGUCAGUACUCGACUAAAGAGAAACAGCUUGCAGUCAAAAGAAUCAAAGUGUUUCCUAAUAAAACUGUCUUAGGACUUAAUCUCACCAUGAGGAGAAACUUGAGAGUCUUUGAGGACUUCAACUAAACCUGGUCUGAUGUCAUUCAAGAGAAAUCUCAAACGUGAGCAGAGUCUAAUGUAAUUCAGUUCUGAUAGCUGAUUGUAUGUUUAAUGUCUAAUCAUUUGCCAAUAUUCUGUAUUUUUCUUAGCAAUAUGCCGAUGUCAGACUCUUUUUGGUAUCAUUCAAGUGUUGAGUCUGAUUAUUGAGUCAGAAACAGAUGAGAAACAGAAACUACAUCACACAUGUUGAUUGUAAAGAGAAGGACACCUGCUGGUGAAUAUCAAUACUGCAGUGUUUACAGUAUAUACAUCAUCAUAUCAUACAUCAUGUAGUUAGUUAUCUGACUGGUUAAAAGCUUGGUUUUGGGUUUUUUUCUAUUGUAAACACAGCUUUGUAUACUGGACUUGUUGGCUCUUGAGGCCAAAUG